rnacentral:rRNA from 1 species
CCUACGGGGGGCAGCAGUGAGGAAUAUUGGUCAAUGGGCGCGAGCCUGAACCAGCCAAGUCGCGUGAGGGAGGACGGCCCUACGGGUUGUAAACCUCUUUUGCCGGGGAGCAACGGGCGCCACGUGUGGCGUCACUGAGAGUACCCGGAGAAAAAGCAUCGGCUAACUCCGUGCCAGCAGCCGCGGUAAUACGGAGGAUGCGAGGGUUAUCCGGAUUGAUUGGGUUUAAGGGGUGCGUAGGCGGAUCGUUAAGUCAGUGGUCAAAUUGAGGGGCUCAACCCCUUCCCGCCAUUGAAACUGGCGUUCUUGAGUAUCGGAGAGGUAAUCGGAAUGCCUAGUGUAGCGGUGAAAUGCGUAGAUAUUAGGAAGAACACCAGUGGCGAAGGCGGAUUACUGGACGACAACUGGCGGUGAGGCGCGAAAGCGUGGGGAGCAAACAGGAUUAGAUACCCUGGUAGUC